CUGCUCGACCCAAAGAGCAGGUUGGGGAGCAGUGGAAAGGCUGCGUGCAGCCUUUCCACUGCUUGUCGGGGCUGGCGGUGGGGGAAGUGCGGCUUUUCCCCACUGCCAGCCCCACAAGCUCGGGGAGCAGCCUUUCCGCUGCUCCCCGACCUGCUCUUUGGGGAAAGCC